UUUAGCUGCGGAAAGGGACUCAACCACUCUUCCGGGUCCAGGGGCGCGGGAAUCGAGACGCUCGCGCCCCGCCCACGAGCCUCCGGGGUGCGGGGUUGAGCGCGCCUCGCCGUUUCCGCCCUCCAAGGGCCUCGUGUGCAGAACCCCACCCUGAGGAGGGACCAACCCCCCCGUUUUACAGGCAGCCCCGGAGCACCCCAGCUUGCUCAGCGCCCUGCAUUUCGGGCGGUGUUAUCAGCCCCAGGUGCGACGGUAAAGCCGGAGCCUCAGUGGAGACGGAGGAGAAGGGUGAGGGCAGGCCCUACUUAGAAGCAGCAAAAGGACUUAAUUGCUUCAGAUAUUGCCCCUUAUGUAAAGCUGAGACAUGCUUUAUCACCUUCACAGUCACUGUUCUUUUGCAUGCUCUGGUUUGCUUUCCACAGGAAUGUAUGCCUAUGUGUAAAUAAAGCAUAACAUGUUUAA